rnacentral:rRNA from 1 species
CAAUAGCGUAUAUUAAAGUUGUUGCAGUUAAAAAGCUCGUAGUUGGAUUUCUGGUUGAAGCGACCGGUCGGGCGUUGAUUCGUCUGCACUGGAGUCGGUUUUGGCCAUCCUCUAGGAAAGUGCGUCUGGUAUUAGGUUAUCGGGCGUAUGAUCCUGGUCUUUUACUGUGAAAAAAUUAGAGUGUUUAAAGCAGGCCUUCGCCUUGAAUACAUUAGCAUGGAAUAAUAAGAUAGGACUUUGGUCUAUUUUGUUGGUUUGCAGACCGAAGUAAUGAUUAAUAGGGAUAGUUGGGGGUAUUUAUAUUCCGAUGUCAGAGGUGAAAUUCUUAGAUUUUCGGAAGAUAAACUUAUGCGAAAGCAUUUACCAAGGAUGUUUNCAUUA